AUGUUUAUAAAUCUCGAUGUCACCGGAAAACAUGGGAAGGAAAAAGGUGAAGCCUUUGCGUUAUUUACAACUUGACUUCUAUGCUUUCGUAUGUUUGUCUUGACCGAUUUGAGAAGAACCUAAAAGCGAUUUUCACGCGUAGAAAUUCCACCUGCUUGUGAUUUUUGUUUUUGUGCAUGAAAAAAAUUGAUCAGAUGUGGUUGUGGGCAAUGGAGCAGACAGGGUAACAGCUGAGACUCUUCGUUUAACUUCAAGCAGAGGACCAAAGAGAUGCGUUCUGGAAAGUUCCAGUGCAUAGCAAAUCUUCUGCGUUCUUGCAGAGAUAAAAGAUCUCAUCUUUCUGGGAAAAUCCUUCAUGGGUUCAUCGUUCGGACAGGAGUAUCCUCCGACACUUACCUCUGUAACCGCCUGGUUGAUCUGUACGUGGAGUGCGGCGAUGGAGAUUAUGCCCGUAAGGUGUUCCGUCAAAUGCCCGUGAAAGACAUUUACUCUUGGAACACUUGGUUGGCGUAUAUCUGCAGAAAUGGAGAUCUUCAGGAAGCUUGCCAGUUGUUCGAUGAAAUGCCCCAAAGAGAUGUUGUUUCAUGGAACAACCUGAUCAGCGCGUUGGUACGAAAUGGGUGCGAGGAAAGAGCUUUGAUCGUUUAUGAAAGGUUGGUGUCUGAAGGGUUUUUGCCCACCCGGUUCACGUUGGCCAGCGUUUUGAGCGCGUGUGGUAAGCUCCUGGAUGAUGUUUCUGGCAAGAUAUGUCAUGGGACUGCUGUUAAAAUAGGUCUUUGCAAGAACAUUUUUGUUGGGAAUUCGUUGCUUUCUAUGUAUGCAAAGUGCGGGCUUAUGUUGGAUUACGGUGUUUGUGUCUUCGAAGAUUUGUCUGAGCCUAAUGAGGUCUCUUUCACAGCUGUAGUUGCCGGGUUAGCUCGGGAAAACAGAGUGUUGGAGGCAGUUAAGAUGUUCAGAUUGAUGUAUGAGAAAGGUGUCCGGACAGAUUCUGUUUGCUUAUCGAAUGUUCUAAACGUCUGUGCUCAUGGAGAAUGUGAUGAUUGGAGAGAUGAAACAUGCCACAAUCUGCUCGGGAAACAGAUCCAUUGCCUCGUUUUGAAACACGGAUUCUUACGAGAUCUUUAUCUAAACAAUUCAUUGCUUGAGAUAUAUGCCAAGGAUAAGUCUAUGGAUUAUGCAGAGCAGAUUUUUUCUGAGAUGUCUGAAUUGAAUGUUGUCUCUUGGAACAUAAUGAUUGCUGGGUUUGGCCAGGAAUUCCGAAGUGACAAAUCCGUAGAAUAUCUUGAGAGGAUGAGAGAUUCUGGGUUUGAACCCAAUGAAGUUACAUAUAUCAAUGCUCUUGGAGCAUGUUUCAGAUCCGAAAACAUUGAAACUGGUAGACGGAUAUUCGAUAGCAUGCAGAAUCCGAGUGUCGGAGCAUGGAAUGCUAUGCUUUCUGGAUACUCUAAGUAUGAAUACUACGAGGAAGCGAUAAACUUUUUCAGACAAAUGCAGUUUUGGAAUUUGAAACCUGACAGAAUCACCUUGAGUGUUAUACUAAGCUCUUGUGCCAGAACGAGAUUUCUGGAGGGCGGGAAACAGGUCCAGGCGGUGUCACUAAAGAUCGAGCUUUCCACAAACUGUCAUAUAGUUAGUGGCCUUAUUGCAGUGUACGCAGAAUGUGGGAAAAUAGAAGUGUCUGAACGUAUAUUUGACCACAUAAUUGAAAUGGACGUCACUUGCUGGAACUCGAUGAUUGCAGGCCUUGCACGCAACGCUCGGGACAUGAAAGCUCUAAUGCUCUUCAAGAAAAUGUUCCAGAUUAGGGUUUAUCCUAAUGAAACUUCUUAUUCUACUGUAUUGGGUUCCUGCUCGAGAUUAUCCAGUUUGCUUCAUGGAAGACUGUGUCAUGGACAGAUAGUGAAAAACGGGUACUUAACUGACCCUUUUGUUGGAACAGCUCUUACUAACAUGUACUGCAAGUGUGGUGAAGUAGAUUCAGCUCGGGAGAUUUUCGAUACUGUAUCGAGGAAACACAUGAUAAUUUGGAAUGAGAUGAUACAUGGGUAUGCUCAGAAUGGACGAGGACAUGAAGCAGUACAUCUCUACACAGAGAUGAUUGCAUCUGGUGAAAAACCAGACAUGGUGACCUUUGUUUCUGUCUUGACAGCUUGCAGCCAUUCAGGACUGGUCGAGAUGGGACUUGAGAUAUUCAAUUCAAUGGGAGGAGAUCAUGGAAUGGAACCAGAAUUAGAUCAUUACAUCUGUAUCAUAGAUUGCCUUGGAAGAGCUGGCCGGUUAAAAGAGGCGGAGAUCCUCGCAGAAAACGCACCUUACAGGAACAGUCAUGUCAUGUGGGAGCUUUUGCUUAGUUCAUGUAGAAUCCAUGGUAAUGUGAGCUUGGCGAAAAGAGUGGCUGAUAAACUCAUGCGCCUUGACCCUCAGAAUUCAGCUCCAUACGUGCUGCUGGGUAAUACUUACAGUUCUCUAAGACAAUGGGAUGAAGCUGCAGCUCUUCAAGGACUAAUGAACAAGAACCGGGUUCUUAAAAAUCCCGGGAUUAGCAGGAUCACGAAUAUCGGUGAUCGGAUAUAAGAUAUCACAAGGAGCUAAUCCUUUCAGGGACAAGGUGAUUUUGUCAUAACCUAUGAUUUUGAUGAGGAAGAAUUACAGAGAUAACAUUGUGGCAAUCUUUUCAAGGAAGGGAGAGAAACAGAAGAUGAGGUUUGAUAAUAACAUUAAGAUUCAGA